GCAGCAGAUGGACCAAUGCUGACCGUUGUUGACAUCAGACAUGAAGAUGGUGGAAAUUAUUACUGUGAGGCCAGAAACAGCAGGGGGCAGCAUAACUCCACCCUACAACUGAUUGUGGUUUCAAGUUCAGCUACAUCUGCUAUUGCUGGAUCCAUCACAUUUUUACUCCUGGUUGGUCUGUUUGUGGUUACCUUUUUCAUUUUUAGGAAAAAGAUGGCUUCAAGGCCAGCCUCUGAGAUCAGAGGGAGUUCGGGUGAAAACCGGAAAAAGAGCUCUGGUGUUAGUCUGUCUUCAUCUAAUCAUAGAUCAGUUCUUUCCUCAGUCUGUCAGAUAGUGAG